GACUUGAACCCUCACAACUUAUAAAGUCGACGGAUUUUAAGUCCGUAGCGUCUACCGAUUUCGA
rnacentral:tRNA from 1 species